rnacentral:rRNA from 1 species
UUUGAUCCUGGCUCAGAACGAACGCUGGCGGUAUGCUUAACACAUGCAAGUCGAACGAACAAAGCGCAGAGCUUGCUUUGCGCUUUAGUGAGUGGCAAACGGGUGAGUAACACGUGGGAAUCUACCCAUCAGUACGGAAUAACAUUUGGAAACAGAUGCUAAUACCGUAUAUUCUCUACGGAGGAAAGAUUUAUCGCUGAUGGAUGAGCCCGCGCAAGAUUAGGUAGUUGGUAGGGUAAUGGCCUACCAAGCCGACGAUCUUUAGCUGGUCUGAGAGGAUGAUCAGCCACACUGGGACUGAGACACGGCCCAGACUCCUACGGGAGGCAGCAGUGGGGAAUAUUGGACAAUGGGCGAAAGCCUGAUCCAGCAAUACCGCGUGAAUGAUGAAGGCCUUAGGGUUGUAAAGUUCUUUUAGUAGGGAAGAUAAUGACGGUACCUACAGAAAAAGCCCCGGCUAACUCCGUGCCAGCAGCCGCGGUAAUA